ACAGAAAUGCCAUUUGAAAACAUUCUUACUACUUCAGAGCUUUCUUCACCGGGAAGCAUCGGGGUGCUCGGGAUGAUUUAAGCUUUCUGAAUGUUUCCAUUUCUUGUCAUCAUCUGCAGGACACAGCGAUCCCCGUCUCGUUUGUACGAAGGACACGAGGCAAAACAUGAUGGAAAGGAAAUCAUCUAAGGGCAAGGUAAUGGCUUUUGAAGCUUCUGCCUCUCUUGGAAGGAAAACUCUAUCGUGUGUAGACUUGAAAGCAUGGAUUUUCACGAGCUGUGCCAAGUUCCUGCAGGAGGUUUCCCAUCAGAGGGAACGUUGGGAGACUUGGCCAACAAAUCCCAUCUCCCAGCCCCGCUGCCGUGUCGGAUGGUACCUGUGUCGCUGCUGGAGCCUCCUCAGUCUGUGAGUACCAGCAGCACAACCUCAUCCAGGGUACUUCAGGUACCGCGACAGGACGUUGCUGAAACCCUUCACAGCUGUGGGUGCCCCAGCUCUUGCAUCCUGUGUUGCAGCAGAGCCUCUGUGCAGAUGGGACACCCAGAGAGCAUGUCCCCAGCGUCCUCCCGGGCUCUGGCUCCCACCUCGUGCUCUGUCUCCUGGUGAGAAGGUCACCAUCCUGUGCCCUCUGAAUACAGAUAGGAGCGAAUCAUGGAAACGUACUCAAUUUGUUGUAUUUCAUUAUUGUACACAGAUAUUUUUUUGCCUGAC
rnacentral:lncRNA from 1 species